rnacentral:lncRNA from 1 species
GAGAGUACAGGUACCCAUCAAUUUCAACUUGAAGCAUGAGGUGGAGAUGGAGGUGGGCGAUCGGAGUUGGGACGCUGGCCGUGAAGGUCUUUGAUCAAGCUGCCGAGUUCUUUGCGAGCAGAUUCCCUUCCGAACAUGAAGCCGUACCAGCCGGAAACAGCAGAGAAGACGGUUGCGGUGACAAUUGUAUGAAGGAGUGUGAAGGUUUUCUCCAUUUUUAUGGGAUUUGGGGUUUUGGGAAAGAAUUAUUUGUAUUUGAGAGAACGAAUGAGAGGUGAGCGUUUGAACUGUUUGAACUUUGAAGGAAUGAGAUCCCCUCCGGAUCAUGUAAUUAAAUACCACGUGAACAAUUUGUGGAAUUUUUUUAAGGGCAGUUUAAUAAAUAUUUUAUUUUGUUGUAAUUAAUAUUUCAUAUUGUGUGUUGCCACUUAGUACUAUGGACUAAUGAUAUUUUACUUGUAAGUAAAAUGUUCAAAUGCGAAUUUGAACCACAUUAUUGCUUAGCCAAUUGUGAGGCUAAACCUACCACUCUUCCCUUUAGUGUAGAUAAUAUCAUUUGUUUAAAAAAAAAAAUUCAUAUUUUUAUUAAAGAUUGGUUCGAAAAAUAUUUUAUUUAAAAACACUUUCAGUCAUUUUAAAAGCACAUCUAAACGAAUCAUUUCUUAUUAGGUUUUGUAUUACUGAUUUAUUAUAAAUAAAAGCACUUGCAUAGGAGAAUAUCAGACAUGGAUCCUCUCCGGAUCCAAUUGUACUAAUCCUAGGGAUCCAUCAAUCCGGACCGUUGAAAUUUGAUCCAACGAUUAAAGUUAUUAUAACUUUUAAAGUGUGCCCCUGUUUGUAACCGUUAGAUCAAAUUUUAACAUCCAGGAUUGAUGGAUCCCUAGGAUUAGGACAAUUGGAUCCGGAGAGGAUCAAUGUCCAGAGAAUAUCAUCCUACGAUUUCCCUAGGUACUCAUGAAGUUAAUAAAAAAUUUAUUUUGUCAAAAACGUUUAUAAAAUUUGAAUCCAAAGUUUUCGAAAAACUGUCAUAGAAACUCGUUGAUUUUUUUUUUUUUAAAUAUAACCCCCAUGAACUCAAAGUUUUCAUGAAAAUUUAAACCAAAACAUGCCUAAUUUAACCUAAAUAUUCUACUCCUUGUAUAUGAAUGAUUUGAUUUCUUCAUUGUACUAACCACAAUCAUGUUUCUUUUUGUGACAACAACAUGUCGCAACAAACUCGACUUUACCGCUGGCGAAGCUGAUAAAGUAACCGCCAUGAUCUUCAUACGAAGGCAUACGCAUGAAGUAAUGCAGACCAAAUACUCGUUGAUGAUGAUCCACAAGCUUUAUGGCUUGCUGUGAAGAACAUUUUGAUCAUCAAAGAGAGAUCUUUUUUCCUGAAGCUAGACAUAACUUGCAGCAUUUAUGCUUCAGGACUUUAAGUCUGUGAAUAAAUACAAUUAGAAAGUUUGUCAAAUUUGAUCAGUUCUCAAGUUUUGUAAAGAUGACUUGAUUGAACAAAAUCUCUUGGAGAAGACCAAUCUAAAUUUCCAUGCCACCAAUAUUGUACCCCUAUUAUGAAUAGGAAGGGGAUCUUCAUUACCAAGAAUGACAUAAGUAUUACCAAUAUAGGGGUGAGGAUCCUAAAGAGCACCACCAUUGUUAGUCAUGUGAUAGGGGGCACUAGUGUCAUGAAAUCAAUUCGGAUCCAAACUAUAGCAUGGAGCAUGAAACCCAAUGAAAGUAGCAGUAGGAUGGUGAUCGUAAGUCGUGACAUGAUAACUUGGAGAGUUACAUUAAGUGCACCAAAAGGCGAGCAGAGCACCAAUGACACCCUGACCUGUGGGGCUGGGUGGAUGACCCUAAAAGGAUUAUCAUCCAACCUUAUGGGAUGUUAGAGAUUGUUGCGUCGAAGAAGUUUAAAUGAUUUGAGAGAUCUAAAGACAAUUAACAUCUUCAUCACAGUUGAGUACAAGCUAAAGUAAAGAAAAGAAGACAUUUUCAUUUCAUUAAAUGAUGAAGUUACAUGGAGAUUCUACUCAGCUCCUCUGAAGCAACUAUCUUAAGAUGGUGUGCUGACGUAAAAAUAAAGAUUCUACUCAGCUCAUCUGAAGCAAUAGAAUCCCUCUGCAUCCAUGCUUAAAUGACCCAUGCUGCUAUGUGGGUGCACUAAAGCCACUCUAUGGAAUGGAAAAUUUGGGGGCAUAUGCUAAGGCUGAGGCCCAUUACCAAUCUCAUGGUUGAACCCGUCAUUCGAAUCAAUGAGAAGCUGAUGGAUACUUUGACGCUCGAGAAGAAUAAGGCUCGGGCUGAUGAUGGUCUUCCCAGAAACUUUGAUAUUGAUCCCAAAGCAUACACCUAUGAUGAUGAAGUGACCAAGGAUGCAGAAGCUAGGAUUAGCCUUAAGCAUGUUGCUUUUUGCGGCUACUGAAGCCUGAGAUAUCCAUGCAGGUCUCAAAGAAAGCACUCAUCUCUCAUCAAAGAAAAACUCAGUACAUAGGUCAAACCAAAAUCUGUGAGGGCCACAUGACAAGUGGCACAUGGUGGAAAUCUCCUCACCAAUCUCACAAGAGGGCUGAGUUCAAACUCAAGGUGCUAUCAAGAGCUGUGAAAACCAGGGAGGAUUUUCUGGAAAAUAUGAAGGUUCUGAAAAUUCUGAGAAGAUUAGGAGAUUAAAAGCUUGAAAUUAUUAAGGUGUUUAACCAAGUAGUUAAGAAGGAAAUUUAUAGUGGACAAUCAACUUAGAGAUAGGAUUUGGGGGUUAGCGCAAGGGUCUGGAAGUGCAACGGCUGUUUUAAUUAAUGAAAGUUCCAAGGAAGACGCACCCUGAUUUAAUCAUUAUUAGCGUCUCAAAGGGCAGACUUAACAAUGGUUAAAGGGGGCAUUGUUUGGGUAGCAUUUGAACUUUGGGCCGAAAGGAAGGAGGGCCCAAAAAGACUAAAGAAAUGAGGCUUGCUCAAAACCCAACACCAAGCCCAGACCGUCCAUCUUAAGACCAAUUGGUGCUCUCCAUUAAAUGCAAAGAUUGGGUGCUUACAAAGGAAGUGACAACCAAUGGAAAUCCACUAACUCUCGGCCUAAAAGCACUUUACAAAUGGCAUAGCAUGUAAAUUACUGAUGGUUCCCUACCCUCCAAAUUGCUUUCGGGCAAGAACAGAAACAUCACAAGUUAAGUUAAUUCAUCUAUAAAAGGAGGAAGAGGGCCCAGAGACAAGGACACUCAACCAAUCAAACAAACAAACAUACAACUUGUCUCUCAGCCAAGCAAAUACCCAGAAAGCCGUGCUUUGUCAAAACUCUGCACCCUUUUAACCUUAGAUUUCCUUAGAAAGACAUCUUUUGUGUAUGUAAAAACUUUGCUACCUUUUCUUAAAUGUUGUAGUAUCGAUCCCUCUUAUGUAAACUCUUUUCUAGUUAUCCCCUUUAGUAUUCAAUCCUUUGUAAACUGCAAAGAGAAGAGACGUAAGACUUUUAACCUUGCCUGACAAGGUGAAAUCUUGCCCGACUCUCUUUGUUUUUGUUUUUCAAUUAACAGAUCUGGUGUUAUAAUGUAUUCCCUAGUUUAUAUUCAAGUUAUUUCUAGUCCUUUGAUGACUCAAACCCCUAUCAAUUCUCAGAUAUGGUUCACUUAGUGGUUUUAUCAAGAUUGGAAUGAAUUAAACUGAUGCCUUGAUCAGAUUUGGACCUUCACCCCUCGAGCAUACAGGAUAACUAAAAGUCCUUGAUCUCAAGGCAUAGAAAAGAACUUAAUGUAGGCUUAACCCAUCUACAACAAUCCUUUGAUAAACAAGAAGUUAGAAAUAACUUAGGGCGCAAGUAAUCGACUUAAAACACACUUGUUCUACAUCUGCCAUACAGAAAUGGUAGUGGCACGCCUAAUCACCUAGUUGGUUUUGAUUGCGAGUCUCAAUUCCUACACCUAAGGCCCUCACAAAGGCAUAUUUUAGAACUAAUUAUGUUAUCGUCUUGCAGUAUUGUGACAAGCAGGAGCUCGACAAUCAACCAAAGUGCCAACUCCUCAGGAAGCUGUGUGCUCGAGCCAGGAACGCCCACCAGCCAGAUUUCCUGCCCGAACAAAAAUAUCAAGUAACUGAAAUUGAAGAUUAGUAGCAUUAGCCAUAGAAUCCUGAGAAAAGUGCUAAUGAAAACAAUCCCAAAUAACCUUGGAUGAUGGUUUGCCGACGACAAGCGAGAGAAUCGACUCAGAGAGAGUAAAGGUAAGAUAAAUGCACACCAACUUAUCCUGUUUGUACCAACUGACAUAGGCAAGAUUGGGCUUGGCAGGAGCAUCAUUGAAGGUAGGGAGAGUGGCUGCAAGGGCAGCAUUCGAUUCAUCAACAAACUGAAACAAGUCAUGGCCAACCAAGAAGGGUUUCAUCUGACAAGUCCAAAGAAGAUAGUUGGACUACGUGAGUUUGAGAAAUGAGCGACAUUGGGUCUCGAGAGAGGAGAAGUUACGCAAAGAAAAAUAACCUAAACGAUUGAUAUCAUGUAGAAAGUUUUAACUGAAGGAUUUGAUUGAUAUGAGUAGUAUACAACUGGUGUCAUCGUUGAGUGACAUGAGAAAUAGAUGAUAAUUGUAUACAACUGUUCACAAUUACAGGAUUUCUCAAUUGCUGGUAUAUUCAUAUAGCUGGUGUUGAAAGGAUUUGCGAUUGAGUUUGGUACACCUCUUGAGCAUUUAACAAAAUCAUUUGAACAUUUCUUAGUCCGCGAAUCACUCCAUAUGAUGCUCUCAUAUGUUUUCUUUCAACCUUAGUCACUAUGGUAUUAGAUCGAAAUCUUAUUGUUCCCUGCAGUAAUUUGAAGUAGCCUCGAACUCUAUAUAUAGCUGUGGUUUCGGUUUUCACACUUACGGUGCAAGUAGCAAAUAUGUUUCCUAUAUCCCUAUGAACCGAGAAUCACCAUCGAAAAGGAAACCUGAAACUACAAACUCUAACAGAGAGAGACUACAAACUCCAAGUUUUAAAAAACGCAAAUGGCGCCUCUCAGUAGGAGACUACAAAAGUGAACAAAAGAAAAGACAUACCAUGGUUGUGGGCUUUAUAUAUAUAUGCACACAACGGCACAAACCAGAAGAAUGCUGCAAUCAUUUUGGUUGAACACCAACCAAGUUAGACAACAAAAUUUGACAAAACCCCAAAUUGUGAACUUUAGUCAUUCAUUGAUUAAGUGAAUUUCCCCUAAAAAGUAAGAAAGUAGAAACAGAAAACAAAUAGAGUACAUGAAAAAAUAAGACUGAAAUCAAACAGAAAUAGCCCAACGCGAAGAAGAAACGAAAAAGGUAAUCCACUCUAGGAAGAAGUGAUCAUCAUGAAGCUCUGGAAUCAAAUUACCAACUCUGAUCUUUUGGACAGAUUUGAUAAAACUUGGGGUAGAUCCAUACCCCUUUGUAUUUGGGGCUUUUGCAUUCACCAGGAAUGGUCUCAUUACAAAUGAAUGGGUCGUUGCCAUCUUCUUGCGUUUGUGUCCCUGUUUGGGCCCAAAAUAACAGUUUGGGCCGAGUGUAGGGUCAUUCUCGGCCCGGGAGGCCUUGCGACAAGAAUACCAUGGAUCGUUCAGUACGUGGGCCUCCAAACCUAGGUUGGCUAGGUCAUAACGCAAGAGGUCGAAUCCUAGUGCAAUAAGGAGUCUCGGCAGGACCCGGAAACGAAUCCGGCUCAGGUAAAGGACUAGGUUCACAGUCCUAGUGAAGGUAGGACUGGUCGAGUUGAUGCUGAUCAAGGGAAGAAAACCUAGUCCGAGUAGGUUUUUAACUCGACCUUGGGGGGAGCCAUUGCUAUAAAUAGAAGAGGUUGCACAUCAUUCAAACCCCUGCAAAUCAAUACAAAAUUGCCCUGCGCAAACUCUCACAACUUGUGAUUUUUCUUUUUUCCUUUUUCGCUGACACAUCUUCCGUUGGCAUCAACAGCACUGUGGAAGCAACCGGUGAUAUCUUAAGUCGGUAUAGAUAGCUCUGUCACCGUAGAAUCGAUCGGUCUUGCAGUAUCUUCCGUUGGCAUCAACAGCACUGCGGCGAGAACGGUUGAUUACCUAUCCAAGUCUCGGUCGAGAAGGGUUUCUGAACCCUUAUUGGUCGAGGUCAUCUCAUCAGCCUUCUCGGCGAAGUGAGGUGUUACAGUUAUUACAUUCGGCACAUUGAAAGCCGAAUUUGAUAUUGAACUUCGUAAGAAUAGUAACCUUGUCUUCAGGUUCGAGAGCCCAAGAGGCUGAGACGUGUUCCUUUCUCGGCCGCAAUCGCAAGACGCAGAAGUCAGUAGCGCGACCCAACGCAACAUUAAUAAAUUUACUCCUCGGCCGAGCUCGGCCGACGAGUUGGCACGCCCCGCAUUCACCGAAGGACGUAGUUAGCUCAUUAAUUACUUGGCCUGCGCGCCACGUAGGCUUUGUAGUUUCUAGGGUCAACAUUUUGGCACGCCCGGUGGGACCCAGUGCUAAACUACGAAGUUCAUGCCAAUUGAAACACGAUCGGUAAAAAAGAAAACAACUAUGGGAAAGUCGACAGCCGAUUUGCCGAAUCAAAGCCUGGGACAAAGUGUGCCGCAGGCGCAGAAUCCCCUUAGCGCUGUGAUACCUGAGUCCACGAGCGCGACUAGCUGAGAGAGAGAAGUUAAUCUCGGCGGUCAACUCCGUGGUUUAGAAAUCCCUAACAGAAACACAUGCGUUCUCAAUGAAGGGAUAGUAGAGGAGUGUGACGAGGAUGGUGGUGAAGGAUCUGACCUACCAACGAGGUCGUUUCUCCGAAAGCGACUAGACGAGCAGUCUCGGUCAGUCGAGCAGACGUUCAGUCGAGGCAUUGACAAGCUGCAUGACGCGAUACUCAGUUCCAAUGAUCGACAAACCAGGCUGCUCGAAAUGCUGGUUAGUAAAGUUGGUGGCAGCAGGCCUUUCGAUCUUCUCCAACAUUGUCCACCAGGAAACAACCCGGUACCGAUUGUACCUGCCGAGCCUAUUCCUGCUCCGCUCAAACCAAUUAACUUGGAAAAAUGAGGAGGGUCGAAUAGUAGGUCGGACGGAACCAACCAGAGGAUCGAAGCAACACCUGUUGAUAUGACCGAAGUUCAGCGGAUGAUCGACUCGGCCAUGAAGAAAGGGCCGAAGUUUCCCAAGUUUAUUCAUCUGUACCCAGCUUACGUGGAAACGUUUGGAUACCCGAAGGGUUUCAAGAUCCCAUAUUUUAGUCUUUUUGCCGGUGAAUCGUCCCUGUCUUCGUUGGAACACGUGGCUCGUUUCACCGCGCAAUGCGGAGAUGUUAAUAGUGAUUUCCAUAAGUUACGGCUGUUCAACUUUUCAUUGACCGGCUCGGCAUUUGCCUGGUACAUCAAUCUCCCUCCUAAUUCCGUCCAAAACUGGGAGGAGUUGGUCGAGAAAUUCCACGAGCAGUUUUAUCGGCUGGGGAUGGAGAUGUCAGUCUCUUCAUUAGCACGGAUGGCUCAAGCAUCUGAUGAGUCACCAAUGGAUUAUCUUACCAGGUUCAAAUCAGCUAGGAAUUGGUGCCGAGUGCCUUUACCCGAAGUUGAAUUUGUCAGGCUUGCUUUGAACGGCCUCGACGUUGAAUACAAAAAGAAAUUCUUGGGGGCAAAUUUUUGGGAUAUGUACGAAUUAGCCCAACAUGUCGAGCAGUAUGAUUAUUUGCUCCGCGAGGAAAAGACUUCGAAGACUCCAACUCGGGGAACGAUUUACAAGAACCCUACUGUCAAUUAUGCAUCAACCGAGGAUGAAUGCGUUAGUGUGGAUGCGGCUGAGAUAGUGAUAGAUAAGCCAUACGUUUGCAAGGCAUUGACUCAGGUUGAUUCUAGAGAAGCCAAAAGUCGCUUGGCCACUGAAGGAACAUUGAAACCAUCAAAGGUUUAUACUUUUGAUAUUACCAAGGCUGACGUAAUUUUUGACCAACUGUUAUCAGCAAGAAUUAUCAAGCUUCGGCCUGGUCAUAACAUUCCUAAGGCCGAAGAGCUUAAAGGAAAGGUGUAUUGCAAAUACCACAAUUCGAGUAAACAUACGACAAACAAUUGCGUUGUAUUUCGCAAUAACGUCCAAAGCUGGAUUGAUAAUGGCAAACUGAAGUUUCCCGAGAAGAUGAUGAGUGUUGAUACUGAUCCGUUCCCCACGGCAACAGUAAAUAUGGUCGACGCGUACCUACCCAAGGACAAAGGGAAAGGCAAGGCCGAAGUGGUUGAGACGCAACGCCCGCGGAAUCAGAAUUUUCAGCCACGAUUCAUGGCCGAUUUUCAUUCAAACAAACCACCUACGGCUUUAACGGGGCAAGCUAUUGUCAAACCUAUGAUGGAUUAUAGCACCGAUGAAGACAGUGGGAUGGUGGUUUUGUGCAGGAAAUGUAGAGCGAAGGUCGACAGUGAACCAGAUGAGAAGCCUUUUUCACAACCUGCGGCCGCAACUCGGCAAAAGGUAGCCAAUGAAGGCCAACAUCACGGGGUUUUUGAGAGGCUCGGUCCUAAAGUACGGAUGGAAGAGACACCCCCGGUCAGGCGGCACCUCGAUUUUGAUGCUUCAUUCUAUGACGAUGAUUACCAUAAGCGUAAUUCUAGUAGUUUAGAAUCAUCGUGGAACCAAAAGACCUUCAAGCCUCCCGAGCCUAGAGAUCAACGUUGGUAUACAUAUCAUUCUUCGAAGGGCGUCUACACCGCGUUGUCCAAAUCUCAGAAACGCCGGCAUCAACGGAUAGAUUGCAUGGCUCGCCGACGAGCAGCCCAAGAAACUUCGGCCCCUAAGUGGCGGCCGAAGGACACAGCUGCCACUGAUGAUGAGCGACCACCUCCAGUAAUUAUGCCAGAGUUGGUACAGGGGAAACGGCUGGUCGAUCAAGAUGUCGAGACCACGUUUGAAGAAGAUGAUAAACGAAUCAAACUUCUCAUUCGACCAGGGGAGAUGAAGGCACGCCUUGAACAUUUCAGGCAAGAGGCCGAAAGCAAAUUAUCCCCGCCGGCUAUACAAGAACCUUUGGUCAAAAUUCGACGGAAUUUGCAUCCCCCGUUCCUUGGGGAGUCUUUGGAAUAUAUGCGAGAAUUUCAUAAGAAACAUUCGGCCAACGAUCUGUAUGGUUUGCCGAAGGCAUGCCAGGACACCAUUGAUCUUGUCCUGACUUGUUCGGAUGCUGAGCGGAUCAUCCAGAAGACCUCAGAUGCAGGAUUGAAAGCAAGGUUCCAGCACAUACGAGAAGCUCGUGUCUUUGGAUUUGAAGUCGACCCGUACAUCGAUAUCGAUGUAGCCGACCUUCCUUUCUUGCUGGAGGACCUUCAGUAUUUACGAUAUCACUUUGAAGUAUUUUCGGCGGUUUCUCUCUUCGGCCUUACGACCGAUGAAAUCGCACGUAUUGCCCGUCUGGAUGCUUAUCUCGACACUAGGGAUGCUCGGCUACACUACCAGGAGCAGGUUUAGGUCCUGACCCCAAGUUCAUUGUCAAUCUCAACCUUACCUGAGGCGGUCACGCAGAACCAACAAGUCGCCGAAGCAGCUCCGCCGAGUGACGUCAUUGAAAAAUGGACAGAAGAGUCUCGUUGUCCGACUCUGACGACAACUGAGUCCGUAGUCGCCGACCAACCGAACGAGGAAGGUCUUGACCAGAUGGGCCCGUCAGUCCUGGAUAAUAUGGAAAUCAGUAUGGUCCAUGUGUUACCUGUCGAUUUUCAAUCAAGCACGGCUCAACCAAAUUUCCUUGAUGGAGAUGUGGUUGCCGAGGAACCCGGCCAUGUUGAUUUUGUAUUGAUUGCUGAAGGCGAGUCAACAACAAAAGAUGAUAGUCUAAAGGUCGCUUUGGUCGAAUUGUUCCCUCAUUCAUCGUCGGCCAAGCUUCACCAUUUAAAGCCGCUGUAUGUGACGGCCCACAUCGAGGGAUAUCCAGUUUCUAAAGUUUUUGUCGACUGUGGAGCUACAGUCAAUAUCAUGCCUCUGAACAUCAUGAAGGCCUUAUGCCGUUCAAAUGACGAGCUUAUUCCGUCAGGAAUCACAAUGAGUAGUUUUGUCGGUGACAAAUCCCACACCAAAGGUGUACUUCCGUUAACUGUAAAUAUUACCAGUCGCACCCACAUGACCGCCUUUUUCAUGGUUGAUUCCAAAACCGAGUAUAAUGCACUGCUCGGCCGAGAUUGGAUUCAUCAAACCAGUUGUAUUCCUUCCUCAUUGUACCAAGUGCUUGUCUUUUGGGACGGCAAAUCAGUCACUGUUCAUCCGGCCGAUAGCCAGCCCUUCGAAGCUAACAUGAUCCAAGCACGGUAUUAUGACGAUCACGUCGGCUACAUUACUUUGCAAGGCUUCAAUGAAGAGGGACGGCCGACUCGGAUUUCCGUUCAGAAAGCUAUCGAGGUUGGCGCCGAGACUGUCCAGCAGGAUUCGGCGAGACUCGGAUUAGCCAACUUCCUCCCCGAAGCCGAUGUUUGACACCGAUCGGGAAACACGCAGGGCCGCGGUUUCAUCUACUAUGGAACAACUGCUGGCCCAUUGGUAUACGAUAUCUAAGCAACCCAAUUCGGGCGUCAACCUCGUCGAGUUCCUUGCUGAGGGAGAUAAUGGGCCUGUAUUAUCUUUUAAUAAAAUUCGAGCCGCCCCGGCCGAGCUCAAAGAUCGUCGGCCCCUAGUUAAGGACCCUUUAGAAGAGAUUAAUGUUGGGACGGCCGAUGACCCACGACUUUUGUUUAUUAGUGCUUUACUUCCCUAACGAAUGAAAGACGAGUUUCGUACCUUGCUUACGGAAUUCAAAGAUUGUUUUGCUUGGAGUUAUCAUGAAAUGCCCGGCUUAGAUCGUACUCUGGUCGAGCAUGAAUUACGUAUUAAGCCCGGAUUUAAACCUUUCCGUCAGCCACCUCGUCGAUUCUCGACCGAAGUACAACUCAGUAUCAAGGACGAACUAGUUCGGCUUUUGAAAGCCGGAUUCAUUCGGACAGCUCGAUAUGUCGAAUGGUUGGCGAAUAUCGUUCCUGUAUUAAAGAAAAAUGGUGCACUGCGCAUCUGCACCGAUUUUCGAAAUCUGAAUCUGGCAACUCCCAAAUAUGAGUAUACAAUGUCGAUUUCAGAUCUGGUAAUCGACGCCGCGGCGAAUCAUGCGAUCUUAUCCUUUAUGGAUGGACAUGCCGGGUACAACCAAAUAUUUAUUGCCGAAGCCGAUGUGCACAAAACUACUUUCCGUUGCCCGGGGGCACUCGGCACUUACGAAUGGGUUGUCAUGCCAUUCGGCCUCAAGAAUGCCGGCGCCACGUACCAACGGGCGAUGAACACCAUCUUCCAUGAUUUAAUUGGCACCAUCGUCGAAGUUUACAUCGACGAUGUUGUCGUCAAAUCUAAACGCCGACAGACACAUCUGGACGAUCUCCGACAGGCUUUCCUCCGCAUGCAUCAGCACAACCUCAAGAUGAAUCCUGCCAAGUGUGCCUUCGGUGUAUCAGCCGGGAAUUUUCUUGGUUUCCUCGUACAUCAUCGUGGGAUUGAAGUCGAUGAGAAUAAGGCACGCGCAAUCAUCACUGCCCCACCCCCAACGACGAAGAAACAGCUCCAGUCUUUACUCGGACAAAUCAAUUUCCUCCGCCGAUUUAUUGCCAACUCGGCAGGAAAAAUGAAAGCGUUUUCCACACUCUUAAAACUCAAGGACUCAGAUAAAUUUGUGUGGAACGACGAGCAUCAGGCGGCGUUUACGCAAAUCAAAGUCUCCCUCACGAACCCACCUGUCUUGGUUCCUCCCCGGCGCGGUAAGCCUCUUAAGCUCUAUAUCUUGGCGGCCGAAGAGUCCAUCGGCUGCCUCCUCGCGCAAGAUAACGACGCCGGACGGGAACAGGCUAUUUUUUAUCUCAGCCGUAAUCUCAGUCAACCAGAGAUCAAUUAUCCAGCCGUCGAAAAGCUGUGCCUAGCCGUUUUUUUCACCGCUUCCAAGCUUCGGCAUUAUAUGCUCCCAUCGGUCACCCAGGUUAUUGCGCAGACUGACGUCAUCCGCUACAUGCUCACCCGACCGAUCGUAAAAGGCCGCAUUGGGAAAUGGACCAUGGCACUGUCCGAGUUUAGCUUGCAAUAUGUAGCUCAGAAAGCCGUCAAGGGCCAAGCAUUGGCUGAUUUCCUUGCUCAACAUCCCUCCCCAUACGGUUUUGAGGGCAACGACGUUGACAUCGGCAUGGUUCAGACGCGCGACAACCACUGGACGAUGUACUUUGACGGCUCCAGUACGUCAUCUUCGGUGGGCGUGGGAAUUGUCAUUCAAUCCCCGAAUCAUGAUCGCUGGUUCUUUUCGCUUAAGUUGGAUUUCGAUUUCACCAACAAUCAGGCUGAAUAUGAAGCCCUAAUCGUCGGCCUUGGAAUUCUCCAUGACCUGCGGGCAACCCGCGCCCUCGUCCUCGGUGACUCCGAGCUUGUGAUUAACUAACUUAAUGGUUCCUUUCGUUGCAUGAGUUGUACCCUGGCACCUUACCAUAUGGUCGCCAGCUAUUUGGCCGAAUCCUUCGACGGUAUUACAUUUCAACAUAUUUCCCGGUGUCAUAAUACCGACGCAGAUGAAUUGGCUCAAAUUGCCUCCGACGCACAACUCUUGGGGGGCAAACUAGGCCAAGAGAUACCAGUGAUACGACAGUUAUACCCGGCCUUGGUUAACCAGCAAAUCCUCCGACGGGACGACGUGAUACGCACCAGGGUUAUGUCCUUACCUUCGUUGUUAGAUCGGCAGGACUCUGUCGAGAUUUGCACAACCGAGGUAAUACCGGAUGAUUGGAGAACACCCAUUAUGCAGUACCUUGACAAUCCUAACGGGAAACAUAGUCGCAGGACACGGGUUCACGCCACGAACUAUGUCACGUACCAGAACGAGUUAUACCGAAAGGGUGAAGAUGGUUUGUUAUUGCUAUGCCUCGGCCCCCAAGAGAAUGCUCGGGCGAUCGCAGAGGUUCAUGAAGGGGUAUGCGGAGCUCAUCAAUCCGGACGGAAAAUGCGAUGGCUACUCCGACGACACGGCUAUUUUUGGCCGAGAAUACUGAAAGAUUGUAUCGAGUUUGCACGAGGAUGCGUACAGUGCCAAAUCCAUGGGCCUAUACAAAGGGUCCCGGCCGAGUCACUACAUUCGGUCAUUAAGCCAUGGCCGUUUAGAGGAUGGGCCAUGGACGUAAUCGGCAAAAUCACGUCGACUUCUGGAGCUGCUAAGCAUGCAUGGAUAAUAGUCGCAACUGAUUACUUUACUAAGUGGGUCGAAGCAAAAUCAUACGCCGAGUUAACAUCUAAAGACGUUUGCGACUUCGUGGAGGAACACAUUGUGACCCGGUUCGGUGUACCGAAAACGAUCAUAACCGACAAUGGAACAAUCUUCACAGCCGAAAGGUUUAAAGAAUACACGGCAAAUUUGAAAAUUCGGCUGGAACAGUCCACACCGUAUUAUCCACAGGCGAAUGGGCAGGCCGAGGCAAGUAAUAAAGUGUUGAUCGGCAUCCUCGAAAAAAUAAUAAAAGAAAGGCCUGGCAUGUGGCAUUUGAAGUUGAACGAGGCAUUAUGGGCAUACCGAACGUCGCCCCGGUAGGCGACUGCGACAACCCCAUACGCAUUAACCUACGGACACGAUGCAGUGCUACCAGUCGAGUUGAGCAUAAAUUCGUUGCGAUUAAUUGAACAAAGUAGUUUGUUUAGCGCCGAAUAUAAUCAGUCCAUGAGACAGGAACUAGAAGAUUUGGAAGAAGCGCGACUUGACGCUUAUAACUUAUUGGUGGCACAAAAACAGAUUGCCGAGCGGGCCUAUAAUCAAAAGGUACGACAGAAAACAUUCGGCGAGGGUGAAUUAGUGUGGCAAACGGUGUUGCCCGUAGGACUAAAAGAUCCUAGGUUCGGCAAGUGGUCGCCGAAUUGGGAAGGGCCGUUCAUUGUGCAUAAAGUAUACGGAAAAGGGGCGUAUCAUCUUAAAGACCGAACCGGUGUAGUUCACAGAUUACCGAUCAAUGGGAAGUUUUUGAAAAAGUAUUACCCGGUACGUGGGAAAUGCGAGAGUAAACAAAACCAUCUCAUUAAGAUUGAUGAGCAUGUACAAGCUAAGUAAGUCAUUCAGGAUAAAACUAAGUACAUUCAAGGGGAAGAAGGUAAGAGGGUGCUGAGAAGGGCCUUCAAUUCCAACCACCACACCUCGGCCAUGAUAACUUCAUCUUACCGAUUCUUCUUGUCCAGCUUCAACCGCUCGACCCGCUUUGUUGUUGCCGCGUACUCAGUUAGGCGAUCCUUUCCGCCCGACUCGAAGUCUCUAGCAAGCUCGGACGCGAUGGCCGACCGACGUUUUGCUAGUUCGGCCAUCUGACGGUCGAGCUCGGCUAGUACUUCUCCUUUUGGCCUUAGAGCGUCGAUUUUCAGACGGAGAGUAUCUUGAACGGCCGUGACAGCUUGCAGGUCCUGUUCGGCCUUUAGGGCGGUCUGGAAGACACUGAAUGUCUCCCGAACCCGCUCCAAAGCAGACGAUGCCCGAACGAUGGCAUUUCCGCUCAGGCGACCGUCUGCCCCAAGAUCGUUAAGACACACGCCAAGUAGAUCAAGACCGUUGCGCUCAAGUACUUGCGGCUGAAAGCGAUAGAACUUCUCACAGCUGGGUUAGAGCGGUUGGAUCGGCAGCCUCAGUCGGAGCAGCCGAAGGGCCGGACUCGGCAGUUGUGCUGGAGAGGAGGGCUUUGAAUUCGACCUCCCACGAAGCCUGCACAUACAAAUCAGUUUAGGCUUAAAGGAAGGCAGGGCGAGAAUAGUAAGAAGGUUUCGUUUUUUAACCUGCCGAGAGGAGACCUCGGCCAUGUCCCCAGGAUCGUUGCUCGAACCUAAAGAACUCAAUGGCCGAGCCCAGUGUCUCAGAUUGCUUCUUAGUUCACGCGGCCGAUGAAGGUUAUCUACGUUUGAUGGCCACUGAGGCGGCCAAGAAAUAUAGAUAACACCCUUCGGCGCAUAGAAUUGUCGGUGAAAAGAAUGUACAGGCACCUGACAUUUAUUAUUUUCCUCGUUUAGAAUUCUAAAGCAAAAAAAAGCAAUCAAGGAAAGAUGGUCGAAGGUACUUACGAAGGCCGAGGUAACCUCCUGUGGAGGAAUAUGGAAGCCCUGGUCUUGAGGAUGAACGGCCGAUUCCGCCGUUGCCUUGGGUUCCUCGAGCGGGCGUUUGCCACGGUCGGCUGCAGAUGGGCCGACCGGAACAGCCGUUUCGGAGGAGGCAGGGACAUCCUGGUCCUGGGAAAGAGCGAGGGGUUCGGCCACCGCCGUCGGUUCCUCGACCGGGCGCUUGCCACGAUCAGCCGUGGGGGGGCCGGCUUGAACCACCAUCUCGUACCUUGGGAGAGGUUGCCGACGAGAGUGAGGACGAUCUGCCAGCGGGACCUCAUCGCUCCCCUCACUCUCUUCCAGAAUGAAGACCGAGGGUUUUGGAUUCCAGGGGCUGUUCCCUCGGUCGCAGAAACCACCUUUUUUGGAACGGGUGUUUCCUCGACGGAGGGAGGCACAACUGGUGUACCAGUCCCAGAGAUAGGCUACGUUCAAACUGUCGCUGCGGCCGGGGCGGGCUAUUUCUCGACCGAGGGUUGAACAACGGCGGGAGAAGGGGAAACACUGGGAGUCGUCGCCCCUGUGGUUUGACUGGAGAUGACGUGGAUCUCCCGUGCGCCCUUCUUUGCCAGCUGUUUUACCCGCUUGGCAGGCGGUGGAGGUUCGACGACCGGCUCGGCCUCUUGGCGAGGGCGUUUGGUCAGCACAGCCCGACCAGCGGCCUUAUCCCUUUUAACCACGGCCGAUUUUUUCUCGACCAUGGCCGCGGCAACAGCCUCCGUUUUUCUCGAAGGCCGAUUACCUAAGAAGAUAAAAACAAUUCAGUAAGGCAAAUCAAUAUGCAAGGUUGAAGGAAAAGAGGAGAAAUGAACAAUUACCUUGAGUUUGUGGGGCCGAGGCCUUCUUAGGUCGGUCGCCGAAGAGUUUGUUCAGCACCUCUUCGACCGGAGCACCAAAGAACUCCUGGGUGUAAUUUUCCCACCACUCACCGAAGGUGUCAGUGCAAUGGGUUUCUGGGGUGGCCAGUCGAAGGCGGAAUUUUUGGCAGUACUCUUGGAACUCCCUCGCAGCAGUUUUACAUUCCUUCUCCGAGGAACGAGGUUCACGUCCACCGCUUAGGACUGUUCGGGAGGAGAGAAGGGGGACGGGGCAGCCCUGAAGAUAGCCGAGCUGCUGGGCAAGGAAGUUCGGAUGAUAUACUUCCCAACCCGACCGUUUCCCAUCGCAGCCGAGAGGGAGGUCGCGAGCAAGCACAAACGACCCACAGGUCUGACGAAGAUCGGCGUCAUCCUCCGCGCCCCACGUAGAGGUAGGCAGCCUGAUGGAGGAAGGAUAGUCUCGACGACGACAUAUCAGGAACUCGUCGUUGGAGAAGUCGUCGAGAGCGAAGAGGUACCGAAAUACCUCUUCGGCUUGAUGGGGAGGCGUCGGUCGAGAGGCCAGCUGAGGUCCAAGCGCCUCCGUUGGUGAGAAGUCAGCUAUGGCCGGCCGAAGGGAGGCGAAGUAAAUUUGUAACCAGAGUUGGAAGACCCAGAGGGGACCAUUCUGGUGUGGAUCGAUUUUGUGGAGGGUCGCAUCGGCCAGGCAGCGGAAGAGAUGGGCGAGAAUGUUGGAGCUCAGUGCCAGGACGUGACCACUGGCCAGGGCCUCGGCUACCGGCAUAUUCUCGACCAAGCAUUUGUUUGACUUGGUACAACAAAUGUACUUGUUGUACCAAUAGAAGAGGAAGGCUUCAUGCUCUCCCUCUCGCAGGUCCUCCUCUCCUCGGCCGGCGAAGUGAAGAUAGAGAGUAUUGUAAUUAAAGAAGUUCUUAUAGAGCUUCUGGAUGUCUUCUUUCGACGGGAUUUGACCGUCACGGUUCAAGGCCUCGAAGGCUCGUCGAUCAAAAAGCGUCUUCAGAUCAAUAUUCGACGGGUGCCCAGAGAGGGCCGCGUCGAUGGGGAUCCCGGUUGCCGAAGUCCCCAGAAUGGCGGUGACAUCAAGGAUGGUGGGACCGAUGGGACCAAGAGGAAGAACCAGGGUGUUGGUGGCCGAGCACCAGAAGCACAAGGCGGCUAAGAGAAGCUCCUUGUCGAGAACGACAUCCAUUGACGAAAGGAGGAUGGCGUCGUAGAUACCGAGGGCUUUCCAUUGCUCACCGAAGAGCCGUUCUAUUCGAACAACCCAGGCUGCCCAGGAUGUGGUCGUCGAGGGCCAGGAGCCUUGGGGUUUCGCCGCAUCCCAUCUCGACCAUUCAAACCCUUGUAGCAAGGGUGUUAGGCAGUGCUCCUGGAGAAGACCAGUAAUGGUCGGCGAUAUUGUAGCCUUGAAGAGAGAACCCAAGAUUUGGUGGACGGUGCUCAUGUCAUUUUCAAACCGUAUAGUCUUGAUCGAGCUCCGAUCAAGAAUCUUCUGAUGCUGGUCACAUUCCCUGGAAAGCUUGGAGAUGAAGGACGCCAUUGUAAGAAGGAAGCACGGCGUAAAAGGGUUUUCUGGGUUGGGGGAUUUGAAGACGAAGACCUGGAAAAAGAAAUGUGCUGGAGAAUAAGAGCAAGAGUUUUCAGAAAGUUUUGGGAGCGUAAAGUGCGAAUGAGAGAGUUUCAGUAUUUAUAGGCUUUUGGCAGGAAGGGUAAUCGUUUGAAAUUCAAAACAAAGGGCAAAAUCGACCGAGAGAAUCGUUGAUCAUGAUGAACAUUUGGGAAAUGCAGUUGAAAAGACCGAAGGUUUCAGAUGUUGGGGGCACACGAUUGCGUAUGACGGCGAAAUUAAUGGCGGAAGAUGUUUCGACGCCUGCACGAUGACAUGUGGGCUCACGACUUGAGGAAGUGGCUCGCGGAUUGAGAUAAUGGUCAUAAUGGCAAGACGGUUCAGGCAGGCACACGCCUUGGACGUCAUUAUUGGGAUUGGUCGUGUUAGAGGACGCCACAUGGCGAGUUCGGUUAAUAGGAUCAAGAUCGUGCAAUCAUGUUCAAUAAAUGCGCCUUGGAACUCGGGCAUUAGGGUUCUGAGUGGUAGAUUUGCUUCUUCAAGGCCGAAACUCGGCCAAAGAAUUCAGGCCGAGGACCUCAGAAGCGAGGGGGCAAUGUUUGGGCCCAAAAUAACAGUUUGGGCCGAGUGUAGGGUCAUUCUCGGCCCGGGAGGCCUUGCGACAAGAAUACCAUGGAUCGUUCAGUACGUGGGCCUCCAAACCUAGGUCGGCUAGGUCAUAACGCAAGAGGUCGAAUCCUAGUGCAAUAAGGAGUCUCGGCAGGACCCGGAAACGAAUCCGGCUCAGGUAAAGGACUAGGUUCACAGUCCUAGUGAAGGUAGGACUGGUCGAGUUGAUGCUGAUCAGGGGAAGAAAACCUAGUUCGAGUAGGUUUUUAACUCGACCUUGGGGGGAGCCAUUGCUAUAAAUAGAAGAGGUUGCACAUCAUUCAAACCCCUGCAAAUCAAUACAAAAUUGCCCUGCGCAAACUCUCACAACUUGUGAUUUUUCUUUUUUCCUUUUUCGCUGACACAUCUUCCGUUGGCAUCAACAGCACUGUGGAAGCAACCGGUGAUAUCUUAAGUCGGCAUAGAUAGCUCUGUCACCGUAGAAUCGAUCGGUCUUGCAGUAUCUUGCAUUGGCAUCAACAGCACUGCGGCGAGAACGGUUGAUUACCUAUCCAAGUCUCGGUCGAGAAGGGUUUCUGAACCCUUAUUGGUCGAGGUCAUCUCAUCAGCCUUCUCGGCGAAGUGAGGUGUUACAGUUAUUACAUUCGGCACAUUGAAAGCCGAAUUUGAUAUUGAACUUCGUAAGAAUAGUAACCUUGUCUUCAGGUUCGAGAGCCCAAGAGGCCGAGACGUGUUCCUUUCUCGGCCGCAAUCGCAAGACGCAGAAGUCAGUAGCGCGACCCAACGCAACAUCAACAAAUUUACUCCUCGGCCGACGAGUUGGCACGCCCCGCAUUCACCGAAGGACGUAGUUAGCUCAUUAAUUACUCGACUUGCGCGCCACGUAGGCUUUGUAGUUUCUAGGGUCAACAGUCCCACAAGUAGAAAUUGAAACAUCCUCGUCGACUGCAAUCCCCAGCUUCUCCUUCAUGUUAGUACUCUUGAAAUAUUUCUUGUAAGUACUGAAUAUUUCAGCCUUGGACGUUGUGUGUGUGGCAUUAGUAACACUAGAAACCUCUGGGCUUACUGUGCUUUUGCUAAUAGGUACGACGAGCAACCCAUCUUUUCCGUCUAAAAAGUAGAAUCCUAGUUUGCGAGUCCUAUAAGCAUUACAUUCUAUUGUACUUAUCAUGGCUCGAGUACUACGAAUGUUGACUUGCACCCACUUAUUGUGGCUCCACGACGAAGUACAUUCACCCAGACGGUCUGCUAUCAUUGACAGAAGUUCAGGAGGAAGAUCGGACCACGAUUGCAUUCGCAUUUUUUUUUCCAUAGACAUUUUGCCACAACGAUACCUGCUAGAUGUAGAAAUUAUAAUCUUGAUAAUUCUUUUCAUACAAGCGUGUAUACUUGACAUUCAAGUAAGGAUCUCCACAAAUAACGAAUACAAUCGGAAUCAGAUUACAAUAUUAAUUCCUAAGCCAUGAUAUUCUUUCCAUAGACAAGACUCCAUCUCUAACACUAGAGGCAUGGAGAUAUAGAUGCUACUUAAUUACGACAAAAAUAUGCAGUAAUUACCACAAGGGUAAUAUGCAGUAAAUAAAAAUAUGCAGAGUUUUGGUGAGAAUUGAAGGGCUGAUCAGCUUUGUUUUUAUUUUCUUCCACAAUAAGUUGAACUCAAGAUUGAUUGAGCUUGCAGUGGAAAUAUUGGAUUUAAAGAUCAUAUUCAUAUGCAUGAUAAAUUUAAGGAAAAACGAGAACACAUGAAAUUAAUUAAACCUAACAAGAACAAAUUAAAUGUUUCAGAACUUAACGAAAAUGAUAAUAAAAGUCCAAGAGUACGAAUACAAAAACAAAAGAGAAAAUUAAGGAGACGUACUUUGAGAUUUAUCCAAGGAAACCCCGACCCUCUCCAAAACAAUAGUCACUGGAAGGAUUUCUGCAGAGACAUUGUGUGUGUACAUAUAUAUUACUGCUCACAUAUCUAUUUACAAAAAGAGUUCUAGUUUCACUGGUUUAACAACGGAUGCGCUUGAUGAUAAAUAAAUUCAUUAAUAAAUACUUGUAGAUUAAUUAAAACGAAAUAGUUAUCAAAUAAAAUAAAAAGUACCCAAGUAAGCCGAAUUUUUCAGGGGUACUUUCGUCAUUUCAUUUUACUUUACUUUGUCAUGAAUCAGAACCUGUAGUAUAUUAUUGCGCGUUCAUUGCUCUGAUUAAUUAUAUGUGAAGUAAGAAAGGGAUCGUGAUUGUAUACAAACUGUUUUCAAAUAGAGGAUACUUCAAUUGGGAUUAUAUUCCUAGGAUUUGUGAUUAACAUACUUAAGGAAAAAUUUGGCGGGAAAAUGUUGCAUAAACUUGGGAUUUUAUGGAAGUCUACUGUAGUGCUGUGAUUUUUUGCAGUAUUUUGGAGAGUUUACUAGACUUUGCUGCUCAAGAAUUGUUGGAAAUAUGCCUACUUGAAAUGAGUAAUGCUUAUUUGUUGAAAGAAGAGUAGCAAGUGCUGCUGAAAUGAAUAAGUGCCAAAUCACAAACGAGCAUGUGCCCAAACAAUUGAAGAACAAACAUCACCCCAACUGACUGGACCUCCCCCCUCUUCCGACUUUGCAGCUCAAGAAUUGUUGGAAAUAUGCCUAUUUGAAAUGAGUAAUGCUUGUUUGUUGAAAAAAAAGAGUAGCAAGUGCUGCUGAAAUGAAUAAGUGCCAAAUCACAAACGAGCAUGUGCCCAAACAAUUGAAGAACAAACAUCACCCCAACUGACUGGACCCCCCUCCCCCCAAAACAAAAAAAAACACACAAUCUCCCACCACAAUAAUGCUCUUCUUUGACAUCUCCUCACCUUUCGUAAUUUGGAUACCUUAGAGAUCGAGCUAUGGUUCUUGGCUGAUACGUUUGAUAUCUCCUCACCUUUCAGUCAUACUUGCUCCUCUUCUUUUAGCAGCCAAGCAUUAUUCAUUUCAAAUUCCUGAAUAACUGAUAACAGAAGAAACAACGUACAAGAAAGCAUGCAAAGGAUAGGAGACAUGAAAAUAUUACAUUGCCUUCUUCCAUUCAAUAUUUACAUACUGUAGACAGAAUACCUCACUGAUGAUGAUCCACAAGCUUUAUGGCUCACUGUGAAGAAGGUUUUGAUCAUCAAAGAGAUAUCUUUUUGCUUGAAGCAAGACACAACUUGCAGCAUUUACACUUAAGGAAUUUUAAGUUUGUGAAUAAUACAAUUAUGAAGACCUAAUUAAAUUUCCAUGCAUCAAUAUAGUACCCCUAUUAGGAAUAGGAAGGGCAUCUUCAUUACCAAGAAUGACAUAAGUAUUACUAGUAUAUGGGUGAUGAUCCUGAAGAGCAACACCAUUGUUAGUCAUGUGAUGGGGGCACCAAUGUCAUGCAACUAUUUGAAUCCAAACUAUAGCAUGGAACAUGAAACCCAGUGAAAGUAGCAGUAGGACAAUGAGCGUAAGCCAUGACAUGAUGAUGGGUUGGGUGGAUGACCCCAAAAGGAGCGACUGCGACCACCAUAACCACGACCACAACCAAAGCUACCACGACCACCAUGGCAGAAAGAAUAAGGGGGUCAAUUGGUGCGUGGAGGAGGGUGAUUGGUACAAUAGGCUUGGUACGAAACAUGAGCAUGGGUCGGGACACUAGGUGCACGAAAACCCACGACUUGGUGGACAUGAGUAGUCGGGGCAUACAGAUUGGGCUGUUGUUGCUGAACGAAGAAUGCUUGAGCAUCAGGGGCAUAUGGCUAUUUCUGGGCUUCAAAAAGCAGAAGUCGAUAGCGCAAGUCAGUAAAGGAAGGCAAGGGAAAAAAUUAAGCAUUGAGAGCGCAAGUCAGUAAAGGAGGGUAAGGGAAAAAAUUGAGCAUUGUUGUGGUGAACAUGGAAUAGUCGUUGUGGAGCCAAAAAUAAUCAAGAAAAUUAUGGAGGUGACAUGUGGACUUUUGGGUAAAAAUGAUAAAAUUACCCUCGAGGCACACUGGGAUGCUUACGCUCAUGCAACGGACAAUAACGGCUCAAUCAAGGAAGACUCAAAGGUGAUCAAAAUGGUAUUUAUUCAAAUCCCUCUCAUCACUCCUCAUCAAAUCCUUAUUCAAAAGGUAACUCCCAAUUUUCCUAAUCAAUUUAGGUUUAAUUGCCAAGGUAAUUGCAAGAUAUUUUUUCAUGUAAUAUCUUACCAUUAUACUCACAAUUUAACCAUAUAUGGUCGGUCCCUAUUCUCCAAAUAGGGCCGCUCACUCCCCUAUAAAUAGUCAUAUUCUCCCACUAAAAAGCCAAGCCAUUUUGCUACCUACAAACUCCUAAACACAUUCUUUUGCAUAAUUCUAACUUUGACAUCGGAGAUUUUUCAGCCAAAGCAUCCCCAUUCAUCGUGGGCGCGUGAGGCUUUUGGCCUUAAUCUUAGGUGUUAUUAUUUUGCAAGUGCAUUUUUGUCAAAGGAGAAGACGGUAGAAAUUUGCAUCCAGAAAUUGGUGCUUUUAAAUUGGUGCUUUUAUUAAGAGUCUUGAUUCACAUGCUCGAAGAAGACUCUAGCAUUCAAAGUUUCUCAUUCCUUGUUCAUUUAUAGAUUUUUCAUACGUUUUUAUUCCAAGAUUUUUUUUAUAAAGUUCUUUAAAUAAACGUAAAAGAAAAAUACAAUGACUAGAAAUUCGGAAACCACGAUUAACGGAACUUCCUAUGUUCAAGGAUUUGGACCAAGUGAUAGAGAUCAAGGCAUAGCCUCACCACGAUGAUCCAUGAAGCUCAAUUCGACGAUGAGUGGAGCGGCAUCACCCAUACAGGGCUAUGCCAACAUUAGCCACCACUGUGGCAACUCAUGGCGAGACCAAGCCCACGGUGAAGGCAUCACCUUGCAGCUGCAAGCCCAGGUCCAUGCUACCUUGCAGCAGCGAGCCUAGGGCCCUGACACAAGGAAGCCCAGCACGGCCCAACGCAAGCAGGCCCAAGAUGCAGCCGCAGCGGCCUAAGACUCGCAGGUUAAGGAUGCCAAGCAGGCCCAAGCUGCGUCGAGAGGAGCCCAGCGCCUAUGCGCUUCAGUUGCCUAACCCUUGCCCACUUGCUGCUGUCUAACUCGAAGUUUGGCCCACUUUCGUGGCCCUCUUAGCAGCCCAAACUGGUCCAGUACGAUCGGUUCAACCUUUCCGGCUUCAGAUUUCUAGACCGACAAUUGAACCGAGGGUAUUUUCACCUUAUUUCUCUACAAAUUUGACAUAACCAAAUCUCACGCUCGGAGUUUAUUAUCAUUGUAUUACUCAAAGAUCAUACCGUCCAAGCUCUUCCAACGCAAAUGGCGAACAACAUUUGUCCCGACAAGUCAUAGAGUUGACAAACGCCCUCGCACAUCAGACGACCUUGAUGAAUCAACUCUUACAGCAUACCAAGAUGCAGCAUGCCCCAGAAGAAGUGUCCCAAAGUAGGACAAGGGCAGAUGACAAACCUCUCUAGCAACGUCCCUGCAAGCAGCCCUUCAACAAGUACACUCCCGAUUGGGCCCCCGAGAUAGUGUAUACUUUCGUCUUAACGCACAAAGGAGAAUGCAUUCUUGGUUAGGCCCACAGACGAGCAUACAUUCAUGGUUGGGUCCACACUUCGAUAAUCAACAUGAGCAACCUUCCAGGUGAAGUGUUCAUUUACGGCGAGGCCCUCAAGGAGUAUCCUUCACCUCACAUUGGAGUAGCCAGCUCAACAGACGAAGAUAAGCAGUCAUUCAAUCCAGCUCAAGUGUAAUUAGCAGCCUGCGAGAAAUUCGUUCGCCUGCUAGGACCAUAAGCAUCGCAGCCGUGGUAUAGACGAGCCGAACACAUGAAAGAGCAGCCUAGACCAGUAGGUUAAGACCGGGGGCAGCCGAGAGCUCCGCUACCCCCAACAAAGGUAAAUUUAGGAAGAAGUAAAUAGGUUCCUGACCGAGCGAUUGCGUGAUUUCCAACACAACGAGAUCACUGAUGAGGCACUACGACGAGACAUGACCAACAUAAGCAUGUUACCUUUCACGGAUGAGAUCGAGCAGGCAAAGCCUCAACGUAAAUUCAGCAAGCCAUAUUUCACAUCUUUCAAAGGGGAUGGAGACCCGAAGAGACACUUGAAGCACUACCGAAGCACAAUGAUCCUCUAUCAAAAUAAUGACGCUCUCAUAUGCAAGAUAUUCGCCACCACUUUACAAGGUGAGAUGCAAGAUUGGUUCUACACCCUACCGUCAUAAUCCAUCUGGAGUUUUGAUGAACUUUCUUUGGUUUUCACCAAGGAAUAUUCAUCUUACCAUUCGAUCAAGAAAAAGUCCGAGUAUUUGUUCAACAUCAAGAAGAACCAAAAAGAGUCGUUUCGCGACUAUGUGAAGAGGUUCAAAGUAGAGAAGACAAAGAUAGUCGGAUGCAAUCAAAGAAGAUCUAACUCUAGCAGACCACCUACUAUUCGGAUAACUCAUCAUGAAAGAAGAUUUAACUCUGACAAACUAUUUCGCUCUAGCAGAAAAUCAUGCAUUUUAAGACGAGGCUCGGUGAGCAGACAAGGUACCCAAGUAGCCUCGAAGAGAAUAGGUAGUAACUCAAAAGAAGGAAGACAAGAAUAAGUACAACAAAAAAAGCAGGUAGGAGGCCAAGCACAAUGACCUAUCCCCAACAAAAAGAGGCAUAGUGCCCAAGAACCACUUGAAGUUCUUGAUCAUGAUCCACCAAAUCCUCCACAACAUCAAGAGCGAACUAUGGUUCAAGCUGUUAAACAAUCAAAGGGAGACACCUUCAAGUUUGACCACACUAAGUACUGCACAUUCCAUCGAGGUCCCGGUCACACAACUAACGAUUGUUACAAUUGGAGGAACUACCUAGAGAAGCUGGUGAAACAAGACAAGGUCGACAUAUACUUUGACAAGCUAAAUAUGCAUCCUAAAAGAAAUACUGACGCCGUCAAAAAGCUGCCGACCAAGAUGAUCCGAAUCAAUGGCAUUUUAGCUAAUCCAAGCACUUAGGGGCCAUCAACAACUCCAAGAAAAGGAAGAUCCAGCAGGCUUUACUAGUCUAACGGGUCUAGGCAGUUAAUACACAACCUGGACCCAUCGUUGACUUCACCGAGUAGGAUGCUGAAGGCGUUGACUUCCCACAUGGUGACCCACUAAUGGUAUCUGUCAAACUAGCCCACGCUAUAGUCGUUUGAAUGAAGGUUGAUAACGGAAGUUCGGUCAACCUAGUUUAGUUCUUAGUAAUUCAGAAGAUGGGCCUGGAAAACACAAUUAUACACAAAGCGAAGGUACUCAUCGGAUUCAACGGACACACCUCAAUUGCCAUCGGCAACAUUACACUUAACGUGAUAACACCACCAGUUGUCUCAAAGCCAAUGUUCAUGAUAGUAAGUGACAUGUCUCCAUAUAAUGGGAUUCUAAGGCAACAUUAGCUGAUAAAGCUGGAUGACAUAACUUCUAUAAAAAAAUCUGAUUCCGCAUCUCGGGAGAAUGAGUUGGAGAAAUCAAGUCUGACUAGGCCACAUCUCAAGAUGCAAUGUGCUAGUAUUGAAGGAGUAAAAAAAAGAAGACAUUUACCCCCGUGGAGGCUCCCGAGGUCUAAAGGGACAAUGAAGUUACCAAAUAGCAAUUACAGUAGACGGAUCAAGAAAAUGAUGUCCAAGUAAAUGUGCCAGUAGACGAGGUUGGAUGGAAACCUGAAGAUGAUGCCGAGCACAUCAUCCUUGAUCCACAGCAGUCAGAGAAUACUGCUAGAAUCGGCUCACGUCUGAGCCCGAAAGAAAAAGAGGAACGUACAGCUUUCUUUAGGGAAAAUUGUGACGUCUUUGCAUGGUCACCUUUCGACAUGCUCGGCAUCGACCCCGAGAUUGCUUACCAUAAGCUGCACAUCGACCUCGCUGCCAAACCAGUGAUCCAAAAGAGAAGACAUUUCGCACCUGAACAAGUGGCAAUCAUCGAAGUAGAAAUCAAUAAUCUAUUAGAGGCCAAAUUCAUGGAAGAGGUAGUACACUCAACAUGACUUGCCAACGUCAUGCUAGUAAUGAAGAAAUAGAAGGGCAAAUAGAGGGUUUGCGUAGACUACACUGACCUUAACAAAGCAUGCUCGAAUGAUCCUUAUCCAGUUCCCCGACUUGAUCUACUAGUAAAUUCAACUUUCAGAAACCAGCUACUUAGUUUCUUUGAUGCAUACUCUGGCUAUAACCAAAUAGCCAUCCAUGAGCCCGAUAAAAAGAAAAUCGCGUUCGUGAUCGAGCAAGGCACCUACUGCUACAAGGUCAUGCCUUUUGGCAUCAAGAAUGCUGAGCCACUUACCAACGAUGGGUAAACAUGAUGUUUAGGAAGUAAAUUGGAGUAACUAUAGAGAUCAUAGUGAAGGGCAAGCAGAAAUCAGACCACAUCAGUAACUUGGCGAAAACUUUCGACAUCCUUAGAAAGUACAAGAUGAAGCUCAGUCCUGCCAAAUGCAUAUUUGAAGUAUCUUUAGGCAGAUUCUUAGGAUAACUAGUAACUUAACAAGGAAUCGAAGCACAUCCUAAGCAAAUCGAAACAAUCCUAGAGAUGAAGUCUUCAACUUCCUGGAAAGAGAUCCAAACCUUGACUAGACAAGUUGCUGCACUCAACCAUUUCUUCUCGCAGUCUACUGAUUGAUGCAAGCUUUUUUUUCAAAACAUUCAAGAGGGCACAACGAGACAAAUGAGAUGAUGAAUGCGAAAGAGCUUUCCAAGACCUGUAGAAGUAUCUCACAUCACCUCUUUUACUAUCCAAGCCGAAAGCAGCGAAAAACUUAUACAUCUACUUGGCAAUCUUGGAAGUAGCUGUGAGCUCUAUCCUCAUACGAAAAGAGCUGGAGGCCCAACUAACGGUAUUCUACACUUCUAAAGCUCUUUUUAAUGCGAAAACUAGAUAUCCAAAGAUCGAGAAAUUAAUUUUAAUGCUAGCUGUUGUGGCUCGGAAGAUCAGACCAUAUUUUCAAGCUCAUACAGUCAUCGUCAUGACUCAGUAUCCUCUAUGAUGAAACCUACAUGGUCCAAACGCUUCUUAACGAGUAAUAAAAUGGGUGUUGGAACUUGGCCAAUACAUCUUAGUUUUCUGACCUCGCACGAUGAUAAAGGCCUAAGCCUUAUCAGACUUAACAGAGCGACCCAACGACACCCCGAAGGCAACUGAGAACACCCUAGCCACGCCUGCUUCACCCGAUGGAGACGUCUGGCAUUUGCACAUUAACAUCACAUCUAACUAUAAAGGGUCGGGAGCAAGCAUGGUCCUUGUCACCCCUAGACGGUUUGAUGCUCAAGCAUGCAAUCACUCUAGGCUUCAAAUCAUCCAACAACGAAUCAGAGUACUAAGCCCUACUUACAGGUCUCAGAAUGGUAAAAGAGCAGUGAAAAAGCUUGCAAUUCAUUCUUAUUCCUAGCCAAUCAAUAGCUAGACUAUUGGGGGUAAACGACAAAACAACUAAAGAUGACGCAAUACCUAAAUAAGGUAUAAAAGAAACUUAUGGGUUUCAGACUUACACCUUCACUCAAGUUCCGUGAGUAGACAACGCCUACACGGACACGCUAGCCGGUCUAGGCUUCGCCCUCGACCAUCAACUCAAACGCUCUAUUUCAGCGGAAUAUCUAGAUAAGCCAAGCAUAUAGGCAAAACCAGCAGUCAAGGUGUCAUAAGUUAGUACAACUCUAAACCAGCUAGAUUCCCUUAUAGACUACAUUCUUUAUUGAAAGAUUAAAGUAUAGAAAGAUUGGAAGAUUAAAGUCUAGAAAGCUCCAAACAAAGGCAGCAUUUAUUACAUGUGGAACGGCAUUCUCAUCCAAGUAUCAUACACUGGCCCACAUCUUUGCUGCCUAGCGUAUCCUGACGACCUAAGGUUCUAAGUUUAAUCCACGAAUGCAUUUGUGGAAAUCACUCCAGAGGUUGAUCUUUAGCACAUAAGGUUUUUAACGAGUACAAAAGUGCUACUGCAGCCAAGGCUACAAGCCUAUACCAGUACUGUCUACUAGCAAACUAUACCCGCAGAUAAGUCCUUAGCUGUUUAUGCAAUAGGCAAUCGACUUGGUAGGGCCAAUGCCGUUUGCUACUGGGGGGUAGAGGCAUGAUGAUCGUGGCAACUAACUACUUCACUAAGUGGGCAGAAGUAGAGCCCAUGAAAACCACAACUUAGACGUACAUAGAGUGUUUCAUAUAGAGAAACAUCAUUUGCUGAUUUGGCAACCCUCAAUCUAUCGUCACAAACAACGAUCUGCAAUUCAUAGGCAAAGAUCUGACAAUGUUCUUCAAAAAAUAUGACAUCAAGCAGCACAUGUCCACACCAAGGUAUCCCCAAAGGUAAUGGGCAAGCCAAAGCAUCCAAUAAGACGAUUCUCGACUACCUCAAGAAAUCCCUCUCUGACAAGAAGGAAAAAUGGCCAGAGGAAUUUUCCGGAUGUCUAUUGGCGUAUCUCACAACCAAACAAUGAGCAACCGGUGAGACUCAUUUCUCUUUGGCAUUAGGUUCAGAAGCAAUCAUUCCUCCUAAUGUCAUCGUGCCAAGUAUCAGCACUCUACUGCCAAGCAUCGAGCAAAACAGAAAGAAGAUGGCCACAAACUUAGAUCUGGUAGAUAAAAAACACGAGAAGGUCAUCACCCACAUCGCAGCCUACUAGUAGCAGCUUUUCUUUAGCUACAACAAAAGGGCUAAGAUAUGGCAGAAAAGGCUCCAAAAAGAUGGAUCUCAUCUAGCAAGGUCCGUACAAGAUCAGCAGAGUAUGCAGCAAGGGUAGCUACACCCUUACCACAUUGAACGACAAAGAGAUCGAAAAACUAUGGAACACCUACAAUCUGAGGAAGUACCAUGCGUGACCUUCUUCUACAUUAAAGCCUGAAAACUUAAGUAGCUCGACGGGCACUACUUCGCAAGCCAAGGAUUAUCCAAUUGUUAUGCAGUUCCUCCCUUACAACUUUUUGUUCGUUUCACUCGUUUUUCAAUGAGGAAUUCAUAAGUAAUUUUCAACUUGGCUCGGCUGCAUGCUUAUAAUAACUAUUCACUCAUACACUUCUAAAAAAGACUGCCCCUUCUUAGAGACUUAUCGUAAGAAUUGCACCCACCUGGGGACCAACCAUUCUCUCCAAUGUGAGAGGAUAAACCAAUUCCCCGACACCUACAUGGGUUUGCUCUCCGAUGUGGGAGGAUAAACUAUACACUCCGAAUAUUUAGACGUGGAUGAGUCGGGCUGCCUUGGUAUAAUUAGGUGUGUGAUGGCUUGUGCCGGGAUUCCUAGAGUAGCCACAAUGGUCCAUUUCAAGGCUUAGCUAACUGAAGGAUUUUGGUCUCUUAGCCUAAUCCGUGAGGAACCGGGCCUCAGGGACGGAAGAGGCACAUUACGCAGUACGCCAUAUAGACGACUGCCAUGGAACCCUAAAGCUACUACCUAGUGCACUAGACUACUAUUUCCAAAAGACUGCCUAUGGCUUACCCUUCAAGCAGUAAGCCGUGCUAAACUUAUACAGUCGCACAUUUUUGUGAAAGGUUCAACAGUUAGCGUGCAUAUACGAAGCUCUAUCCACUACCGACAUGUUACACAAUUAAUAAGUUUCACCACUGCCAAGCACAGAAUGAUCAUUUAGAUCUACACUAAUUCCUAAAGUGUUGUGAUACUUGCUAUGCAACCCAUGGAAUUGGUUACGUAAGGAGCAAGAAGUUCUCUUAGACCUUUGCUUACGAAAUUCCAUACAACCGCAUACUUUUGAUACGAAAAGUUAGCGAAUUUCGUGACCCGAAAAUCUUUAGUAUGUUGUGAUGCAUGCCACACAGCUCAAAGGAUUAAAGAAAGCCAAGGUUAAUAGCCAAGUGGUCAUGCAUACUCGUAUAUUUCUGUACGCAAGGCAUUCGGCUGCCGACCCUAUGGCUAACAACUUUGCAACAGUUUUACACCAACACCUAUGGAUGCAUAGCCUACGUGGCUUGUCUGCUUAUAGAAAAGCAACACGCAUGCCGCUGGUCUAAAGGUCAAAAGUUGUGUGUAAACAAAAGAAGCAAAGAUGAAGAAAAGCGAAUGAAGUAAGUUUAUUAAAUUUUCUAGCAAAAUUGAUAAACAAAUAACAAAUGCCGAAUGAGUUCAAGCAAAGCAAAAAAGCAACAAAGAAAGUAAAGAAAAUCCUAAAGGCUACCUAGAAGACUACUCUUCAGUAGCUUGGACAUCUCACUACUACUCGGUCGCUGCACCUUCAGCAGCUUGACGCUCUUAACAGCGGCAUCAUCCAGCACUUCACCACCGACUACCUUAGCUUGGCCACCAACUUUUCCGACUACUUCACGAAUGAAAGCCUAAAAAAUAUAGGCAAGCAAGUAUUCCGGAGAAACAAAGAAAAGAUUUACGUAACCCAACUUGUAGAAAUCGGCCUAACUCUGAACAAAGCAUGCUCGAAGGAUCCUUAUCCAGUUCCUCGAAUCGAUCUACUAGUAGAUUCAACUUUCAGGAACCAGCUGCUAAGUUUCUUUGAUGCAUACUCCGGUUACAACCAAAUAGCCAUGCACGAGAUCGAUAAAAAAAAUCCAUAUUCGUGAUCGAGCAAGGCACCUACAACUACAAGGUUAUGCCUUUUGGCUUCAGGAAUGUGGGAGCCACUUACCAACAAUGGGUAAACAUGAUGUUUAAGAAGCAAAUUGGAGUAACCAUGGAGGUCUACGUCUACGACAUCAUGGUGAAGGACAAGCAGCGAUCAGACCACAUCGGCAACUUGGCAAAAACUUUCGACAUCCUUAGAAAGUACAAGAUGAAGCUCAAUCCUGCCCAAUGCAUAUUCGGAGUAUCUUCAAGUAGAUUCUUAGGUUACCUAGUAACCCAACAAAGAAUCGAAGCACAUCCUAAGAAAAUCCGAGCAAUCCUAAAGAUGAAGUCUCCAACUUCCUUGAAGGAGAUCCAAAGCUUGACCAAACGAGCAGCUGGACUUAACCGCUUCCUCUCGCAGUCUACUGAUUGAUGCAAUCCUUUUUUCAAAGCAAUCAAGAGGGCAUAACAAGAUAAAUGGGAUGAUGAUUGCGAAAGAACUUUCCAAAACCUGAAAAAGUAUCUCACAUCACCUUCCUUACUCUCUAAGCCGAAAGCAGCGGAGGAUUUAUACAUCUACUUGGCAAUCUUGAAAGUAACGGUGAGCUCUACCCUCAUACGAAAAGAGCUUGGGGCCCAACUGUUAGUAUUCUACACUUCUAAAGCUCUUUUCAAUACAGAAACUAGAUAUUUGAAGAUCAAGAAAUUAAUUUUAGAUUCAGUUGUUGCGGCUCGGAAGCUUAGACCAUAUUUUCAAGCUCAUAUAGUCAUUGUCGUGACUCAGUAUCCUUUACGCUCAAUCCUAUAUAGUCCAGAUGCGUCUCAACGAGUAAUGAAAUGGGUGUUGGAACUUGGCCAAUACGAAUUAAUUUUCCGACCCCACACGGCAAUAAAGGCCCAAGCCUUGGCAAACUUCAUAACAUAAUUCACGCCUAGCCUAAACAAUGCAACAGAGUGACCCAACGACGCCCUGAAGGAAACCAAGCACGCCCUAGCCAUGUUUCCUUCACCUGAUGGAGACUUCUGGCAUUUGCAUGCCAAUAGUGCAUCUAACUAUAAAGGGUCGGGAGCAGGCGGGGUCCUUGGGGUGACGAUUCGAUGCUCUAACAAGCAAUCACUCUAGGAUUCAAAGCAUCCAACAACGAAGCAGAGUACGAAGCCCUACUAGCAAGUUAGAAUGGCAAAAGACUUGGCAAUGAAAAAGCUUGCAAUUCAUUCUGAUUCCCAGCUAAUCACCAGCCAGACUACUGGGGAGUACACAACAAAAUAUCUGAAGAUGGCAUGAUACCUAGAGAAUUUAUGAAAGCAACUUGAGGCAUUUCAAACUUACACCCUCACUCAAGUUCCGUAAGCAGACAACGCCCACACAGACACGCUAGCCGGCUUAGGCUCUAUCUUCAACCAUCAACUUAAACGCUAUAUUCUACUGGAAUAUCUAAACAAGCCAAGCAUAAAGGUAGAGCCAGCAGCCGGGGUGUCACAGGUUAGUACAACUCUAAACUGGCAAGAUUCCUUUAUAACUACCUUGUCAAUGGCAUACUCUAUAUGGAAAGAUUAGAGUCUAGAAAGCUCCAAACAAAAAUAGCACUUACUACAUGUGGAACGACAUUCUCGUCUGAAUAUCCUACAUUGGACCACAUCUCUGCUGCCUAGUGUGACCCAAAGACCUAAAGGUUCUAAGUUUAAUCCACGAAUGCGUUUGUGGAAUAACUCAGGAGGUUGAUCCUUAGCACAGAAGGCUCUUAACGCAGGCUGCUACUGGCCUACUAUGCAUCAACACACUAAGGAGUUAGUAUAAAAGUGCGACCGCUACCAACGCUACAAGUCAGUACCAGCACUGCUUGCCAACGAACUACACUCGCAAACGAGUCAUUGGCUAUUCAUGCAAUGAAAAAUCAACUUGGUAGGGUUAAUGCCACCCGCUACUAGGGGCAGAUGCAUGAUGAUCGUGGCAAUUGACUACUUCACUAAGUGGGUGGAAGUCGAGCCCAUGAAAACCACAAUUCAAACGAACAUAUAGCGUUUCAUAUAAAGGAACAUCAUUUGUCGAUUUGGCAUCCCUCAAUCCAUCGUCACAAACAACGGCUUGCAAUUCGUAGGCAAAGAUCUGGAUAUGUUCAUCAAGCAGCACAUGUCCAUUCCAAGGUAUCCCCAAGGCAAUGGGCAAGCCAAAGCGUCCAACAAGAUGAUUCUUGACUGUCUCAAGAAAUCCCUCUCUGACAAGAAGGGAAAGUGGCCAAAUGAACAUUCUGGAUGUCUAUGGGCAUAACGCAUAACCAAAUGAUGAGCAAUCGGUGAGACUCCUUUCUCUUUGGCAUUUGGUUCAGAAGCAGUCAUUCAUCCCAAUGUCAUCAUGCUAAGUAUCAGCACUCUAUUGCCAAACAUCGAGCAAAACAGAAAGAAGAUGGCCACAAACUUAAAUCUGGUAGAGGAGAAACACAAGAAGGUCAUCAUUCGCAUCGUAGCUUAGCAGCAGUAAUUCCUCUCUAGCCAUAACAAAACGUCCAAGAUCAAGCAAUUCCAACCUAGAGAUCUAGUCCUAUGAAAAACCUUCAUCACUACCCAUAGAGAAGGCUCUAAAAAGAUGGAUCUCAUCUGAAAAUAUCCAUACAAGAUCAGCAAAGUAUGCAGCAAGGGUAGCUACACCUUUGCCAUCAGGAAUGACAAAGAGAUCGAAAAACAGCGGAACACCUACAAUUUGAGGAAGUACCAUGCGUGACCUCCUGCUAUAUUAAAUCCUGAAGACUUAAGCAGCUCGACGGGCACCACUUCGCAAGCUGAGGACUAUCCAAUUGUUAUGCAAUUCCUACCUUACAGCUAAGUUUUUGUUUGUUUCACUCAUUUUUCAAUGAGGAAUUCAUAAGUAAUUUUCAACUUGGCUUAGCUGCAUGGUUACAACAAUUGAUCACUCUUACACUUCAAAAGAAAGAUUGCGCCCUUCUUAGUGACUUGUCGCAAGACUUGCACCCCCUUGAGGACCAAACCAUGCUCUCCAGUGCAAAAGGGAAAACCAAUUCUCUGACACCCAUAUGGAUUUGCACUCCGAUGCAUGAGGAUAAACUAUACAUUCAAAAUAUCUAGACAUGGAUGAGUCAAGCUACCCUGGUUUAACUAGGUGUAAGAUGUCUUGCGCUGAGAUUCCUAGAAUUAAACACAAUGGUCAUUUUCAAGGUUUAGCUAACUGAAGGAUUUUUGGUCUAUUGGCCUAAUCCGUGGGGAACCAGGCCUCAGAGACGGAAGAGGCACAUUAUGCAGUACGCCCUUUGGAUGGCUGCCAUGGAACCCUAAAGCUGCUACGAGUACAUUAAGGUAGCCUACGGUUUCUAGAACACUGCCUACGGCUUGCCCUUCAAGCAAUAAGUCAUGUUAAACUUAUACAACCGCACAUUUUUGUGAAAGGUUCAACAGUUAGCGUGUAUAUACGAAGCUCUAUCCACUGUCGACAUUCUACGCAGUCGAUAAGCUUCACCACUGCCAAGUACAGAAGGAUCGUUUAGAUCUACAUUAAUUCCUAAAGUGUUGUGAUACUUGCUAUGCAACCCAUGGAAUUGGUUAUGUAAGGAGCAAAGAGUUCUCCAAGACCUUUGCUUAGGAAAUUCCAUAUAAUCGUGUACUUUUGAUAUGAACGGUUAACGAAUUUCAUGACCCAAAAAUCUUUAAUAAGUUGUGAUGCAGGUCACACAGCUCAAAGGAUUAAAAAAAGCCAAGGUUAACAACCAAGUGGUCAUGCAGACUUGUCUGCUUCUAUACUCAAAGCUUUCGGCUACCGACCCUAUGGCUAACAACUUUGCAACAUUUUUACACCAACACCUAUGGAUGCAUAACCUACGUGGGCCUGUCUGCUUAUAGAAAAGUAGCACAUAUGCCACUAGUCUAAAGGUUAAAAGUUGGGCGUAAACAAAAGAAGCAAAGAUGAAGAAAAGUGAAGGAAGCAAGUUUAUUAAAUUUUCAAGAAAAAUUGAUAAACAAAUAGCAAAGGCCAAAGGAGUUCAAGCAAAGAAAAAAAGCAACAAGGAAAAUAAGGAAAAUCCUAAAGGCUAACUAAAAGACCACUCUUCAACAACUUAGACAUCUCACGACUACUCGGUCGCCACACCUUCAGUAGUCGCAACGCUCAGCAGCAACAUCAUCCAAUGUUUUACCGCCAGCUGCCCCAGCUUGGGCACUAACUUCUCCGACUCCUGCACGAAUGGAAGCCUAAAAAAUAAAGGCAAGCAAAUCUUCUAGAGAAAUAGAAAAUGUCUUGAAGUCUUUCCCAACAAACUCAAAGUCAUACGACCUACCAAAGAAAUGAUCUACAUAACCCAGCUUGUAGAAAUUGGCAUAACUCUAAACAAACGAAGCCUCAAGCCCCGCCUUCUCACUCUUCAGUUGCUUGUUCUCCUCGAGCUGAGCAACACAGAUGGGUUAUAGCUCAUCCACUUCCUUCUUCAGACUUUCAUUGAUCUUAAGUGCACCUUGGAGUUCUAACACUUAGAGUUCAAGCCUAUUGACGACCUUUUUGAAGUGGAUCACUUGAUUAUAAGCAACAAUCAACUCUUCAUCCUUUGCGUAAGUAGCAGAAUGAAGCUCAAAAAUGGCACGUUCAAGAUCUUGAAUCUAAGGUAUGUAACAUUCAAUCUCCUUCUCUACACUUCCAUAUUUAACUUAGAUCGCGUCAAGCCUAGUCUUCAAGUCAACGAUCUUCUAGUAAGUGGUAUCAAGCUGCAAAGAAGUGGGGGCAGAGAUAUUAGACCCAUUCAAAGCGAUGAGCUCAGACUCCAACCUCUUGAUCUUCUCAGCGGAAGAAUAACCUUCAGGUGCCAUAGUUUUUGCUAUCUCCUUGGCAGCCUUGGUAUCUUCUUGGUUCAGGAGUAUAAACUCGGCUGCCAAAAUCGCCAUUUUUUUCAUCAUAGCAAGUAGAGUAGUCCUUCUAUAUUGGACAAACAACCCCCAUCUAACACCAUCAACAAGCUUGGCACACGCGUCUUUGUCUUCAAGUAGAGUUGGCUUCAAAAGUGCACAAAUCUCAGUAGCCUCUCUAGAAACAGGCUUGGUGGAUUUCUCACAACUGCCCAAAUGAGCAGUCUCAUCUUCUCAGCAGGCGAACCAAUCUCAGCAGCAAAAGGAUAAGGCAUUGGCGCCACUAUAGCAACGGAGUCCACCUUAUCGUUUAGUAACAAGCUUCUUCGAAUAGGAACCAUUCUUAGCUCUUAACAGACAUCUUGGAAUAGAUUUUGGUAUUGGGGGCACAACGGAACCUCUACGUUGAGCAAUCAUAUAUACAAUCGUACUAGCUACCUUCGACAUGGUAUGUGUCACUAGUUCAAAUCUAGCAGCCUUAUCUUUCUUCCCCCUUGGAAAAAGUCAAGUCAAUCACAAACCUACAGGCAGCAAGCGGACCCUCACGAGCAAUGGAAAAAGCCUUCAAUUUUUCUUCACCGGCAUCUCUUGAGCAGGCUGAGAAUAUCUCUUCUUUCCACCUUCAUUCACAGCAGGCUCUAUAAUCUGCUUUAUCGGACAAGCUAAUGCAUCCGCCUUAAUCCAUUUUAUCUCCUCUAUCGGGGGCAGCCUACAUUUCUUCCGGCGAAGAUGACUAUGCAACCAACACCACUCAUGGUACUCAGUAGAGAUACCUAAAGUAGCAUGCCCCUUCUUCAUAUCUAAAGAAGUCUUGGGAGUUGAGCCGAAUUCUGAAUCUACAUAAGCAGAGAAGGACAAUCAACAAAUCAAAAAGCAACUCAAGAAAAGCACAAAGCAGCGUAAAGACUAAGAAGUCUACUUAAUGAUGAUGAAAAUCAUCGGAACGUGCAGCUCAAAGGAAGAAUCAGAUUCUCAUUUCCUCCUUAUCUCCAAAGUCUCCUUGGCCCAGUCGUGAUUUCCCUUACUCGAAUGAUCGAAUAGCCUAUGAUGGGAUCGUAGCUGCCUAACUCUAUCAAUAUGGCCUAUGUCAAAGAAGUACCAAAAUUCGCUAAUAGUCAGAUCUAAGUCAAAGAAUUAGCUUAUAUUGAGGAACGCCACCAUCACAUGGACCACAUUUAGAGAACAUUGAGAGAAGGCAUACUUCAUGAAGCAAAGCACUUCUUGGAAGAAACGUGGCAUAGGAAAAGUAAAUCCCAACACAAAGUAGUAGGGGUGAAACUUGCUCUCUGAGCCCCACUACUUGGCUUAAGGCUACCACCUUCCUUGACAUACUUCACACGCACCCGAGACGAAAUGACGUGCCUAUAUGCUUCAAGAAAAUCUCUGAACGAGUCAUCGGAGCUAAUUUUGAAGUGAGCAGCCUUGAAGUAGCCCACUUUACUCAAAGACCCACCUUGGGGUUACAACAGCGGCACACCAUCAUCACUCUUGUGGCUUGAA